rnacentral:rRNA from 1 species
CCUACGGGGGGCUGCAGUAAGGAAUAUUGGUCAAUGGACGAAAGUCUGAACCAGCCAUGCCGCGUGGAGGAUGAAGGUCCUCUGGAUUGUAAACUUCUUUUAUAUGGGACGAAAAAAGGCCUUUCCAGGUCGUCUGACGGUACCAUAUGAAUAAGCACCGGCUAACUCCGUGCCAGCAGCCGCGGUAAUACGGAGGGUGCAAGCGUUAUCCGGAUUCACUGGGUUUAAGGGGUGCGUGUAUGGGAGGGGUGAAAUCCCCGAGCUUAACUUGGGAACUGCCAUUGAUACUAUCAGUCUUGAAUACCGUGGAGGUCAGCGGAAUAUGUCAUGUAGCGGUGAAAUGCUUAGAUAUGACAUAGAACACCAAUUGCGAAGGCAGCUGGCUACACGAGUAUUGACACUGAGGCACGAAAGCCAGGGGAGCAAACGGGAUUAGAUACCCUUGUAGUC